rnacentral:lncRNA from 1 species
GCUUUCUUCUCUUCACUCUGUUAUUUAGGUUAUUAUUCUGUACAGGCUUUCUUCUCUUCACUCUGUUAUUUAGGUUAUUAUUCUGUACAGGCUUUCUUCUCUUCACUCUGUUAUUUAGGUUAUUAUUCUGUACAGGCUUUCUUCUCUUCACUCUGUUAUUUAGGUUAUUGUGGAGUAUAGUUGUUUCCUCUUACUUUCUCUGACAGAAUAAUCUCUCCGACAGUGAAUGAGGACCAAACUAAGCUUCAUGUCCAUGGUUUAGGCCUAGUUCUGAAUUCUAAGAGACUAUUGGAGACUUGGCCAAUUUGAUAAUAGUUUGGUUUUAAAAGGUAAAUUAUUUGUUAAUUCCUUUGCUUCAAAAUACUUUUGGAUGAACAACAUUACUGGAAAAACUGGCCCACUGAGAUGAAUGUUCUAGAAACAUUCUCACUGGCUGGGUGGUGGCGUAUGAGUCCUGUUGCUGAUGAGAUGGGGAAGGGACAAUGUCGUGAUUUUUUUUUUUAGGGUGAAGAGAAGGUUCUCCCUUUUAGUGUCACGUGAC